rnacentral:siRNA from 1 species
GGAGACUGCAUGCCGCAAAAACAA